CUUGUGCCUUCGUUAAAAGUCAAUUCAUCUUUGACAUGUUUUACUUCUCAGUUGUUCCUGGAGGAAGCUCGCAUUCUGUCGAAUAUAUGACAGGGCCUGUUCCUGUCAUCGUUUUCCGCUGGUCUGUCAUUGUGGAAAUCCCACGAGAUUUAGAAGAACCUCUGACGACAGUGUUUUUGCUGGCGUGAAACAAAUCACUUAAAUACGUAGCUCCUUCACAAACUGUCGGAUAGAAACUCUUCUGGGACUCAGAUCGUCUUUCCGUAUCACCAACUUUCUUAAGAGUCCCCGACAACGUCUGCCCGUAAAGCCCUUCACAGACACUCACACCGUGUCCCAGUUCCGUAGAUAGCCUUUUUUUUGGGCUGCCGGUUCCACUAUUGAUUUCCCAAUUCGUGCUACCCUCCUUCGCAAGACAUGUCGCUUCCUGGAGGUCCGCUUGGCAUUCCUGGACGAGCGAGCGAGGACAAGACGGGAACGGCCACUGAGUUCCACAAGGAAAGCCCAGGGCGACUGUCUCCCCAAGCCAGCCACAAAUGGCGUCCUCACUGCGCAAGUCUACUUCUUUCUCUCUAUUUUUUUGUCAUUCUGGUAGUUCUCCCUUCUCGCAUGUCUGACAAUUUCUCUUCAACCAGGGCUUUCAUGGCUGAGGCAGCCAGCAGUGGAUCUCGGGGGCGUGUCGACCUGGAUUCUGUGAAAGUUGAUGGUGAUGAGAAGACGGCAGCAACUGCAUCGACGCUCUCUGGUGCCCACAAUGAGACAGUGGACAAUAUUGUGAAAGGAGGUGGAGUACCGAGGGGCCAGGAUACCGACAUAAUGCCUCGUGCAACGAUCACAUCGCGAAGCACAAAGUUUUCUUCGCGCGUCGCAUUCCGUCGGACUGGGAUAUUAGCGAUGACAUUCGUCGCCAGUCUGGCUGCAGCUGGUGCGGUUGUCGCUUUGUUGACUCUGAAACGGUCCAAGCAGAAGACAAGGGAUAUGCAGCCACCGUCCGCUGGUGCCUGGACGUAAGUCGCAUGCGUGACACGCACAGAUGUCGUCUCGUUGAGGUGGCGGCCUGCUUGCACACACAGAGAAUCAGGCAAAAAGGCAAAGUGGUACCAGAACACUUUCACUGUCUUUGGACUUUCUUUCGAUGGGUCGCAUCUGCCUAGCCAAAUCUCGUGGGCUUGAAGCAGAGUCGCGGAACGGUCCGUGUGUAUUAACACGUGGAAAAGUGCAGCCAAUAGACGCUGAGCACAUCAUGGUCUCAAUUUAGUCAUGCAAUAAAGGGUUACAAUAGUGAAGCUGCAAUCACCUGACAUUUAUGGCCCCAAUCAGAAUACAAGUAAGGCAAAGCGUGUCCAGAAGCAGUAGGGCAAACUGACCUACCGUCGCGUUCUGUGUUGCUGGGGAUUGGGAAAAAGGGCAUCCUCGGCUGGCUAGAUGUAGAAAGGGAUCCCUUGUCACUUUUGUGGUUUUGGCGCUGAGGUUGAGGUUCUGAGUGUAACAUCCCAGCAGGCAGAUAUCAAGUAAUUCUACAUACCCGAGAACACUAGGCACCGCCUAGAUUGGCGACUGGGUUCGACACCCGAGGCACCCGAAGCAGAGCCAGCAGAGCUGAAGGUGAGUACUCGUUCUACCCGGUUCUACCGUUGCUGUCCGUGCUGGAUCAGGCGUGCCAGGACACGGAGGUGUUAUACCUGUUCAGCGUUGCCACAUGACAAGCGAGGAUAGCCAGUAUGUGAAGAAUCAAUCCGUCACCUGCUGCGCCUCAGAUGAAAUGCCUGGAACCAUAGUUGAGGCUGACGCUGAAGGUUGUUUUUGGAUUGGCGGUCGUUGGCGCCAUUGCACUACUAGUACGUUUUCCUGCAGGCUGUUGGAGAGUCUUCUCAUUGUUUCUUUACUUCGAAGACAGCAGGGCACCUGUAGGAAACUAAGUCUCCAACUAUUUCGUGGGUCGCUGCGGCGGCGUUGUAUCAAUAGGUAGCUGCAUUGUCUCCUUGCUUUUUUUUUAUCUCCAUGCGUCCAAGAUCGUUCGCUCAUCACUUCACAGAAUAACGUUUUUAUGCAGCUGGGCUAUCACCGUAGGGCUAUCCACUGCGCGGGACUACUGCUUGCAUGCUCCACGGCAUCAUCCCGCGCCCCCGAAGGUUACUGACUUACUCACGCUUCCGAUUCAUCCUACUGGAGUGCUACAGUACUUCAGCACAGUAAGCGUUAAGGAUGCAGAUGUAUAUUUUGAAGUUAUUUUUUGGAAGGGGUCAGCGGCGGAAGAGCUUCUCGGCCAGCAGCCACCCAACAAAGCAAAAAUUCGACUCACGCAGCGAACGCUGGGGCUCGCUGACCCUGAUUCAAACUAAGAGCAUUGCGCGGGGGAUGAAGGCUUCCAGCAGCUGGGGUGGUCCCGGUUGAUCGGUUCCGCCUCAAGCACUGCAGGAAUAUCUUGACCAACGACCGCCUCAUGCGUGCAAAAGGGACCAUGUGGCACUUAUGUUUGUUUAAAUGAGUGUUGAUAAGACGCUGCUCACGUGUCACUCAUAUGAACUGAAGUUAACAGUUCAUAGCAAAACUGGAGCUUCUUCCAGGUGCCAGAAGUACUUUUACGAGCCGUGCGGGGGACGGGAUCAGAAGCAGCAUUCUCGUAGUUUUGCCGUCGCUGCCACUCGCGGCCAAAAGCGGAUCUUGAGAACGCACGAAUUGUUUUGUUCUAGAGAGCCGUUUUUCGCGGUUGACCGGGACCCUCACUUUGUUGACAGGCAGCGAGUGGCAUUCUGGCUUUUCUUCUUCUGAGAGGUGUCGUUUCUGCGAGCACAGGCGUGCUGAUGUGCGCCGGCUCGAGCAUGACGACGCUUUGCGCGUCUGAUGGCAUGAAAAAGACGCGUUGCAACGGGAACAGGAUAACGCGAUUGUAGAGGAUUCCGAUCAGAUGUAUGAGCGUUUCGUCUUACCCGUUCGUAGAUUCGUUGGAGAUAGAAGCGUACAUAUCGUAUGCUGGUACUUGUCUGCCAUAUAGUUACGUGCCUAGUAGGAAAAAGUACCAUUGAGGCUUCUGUUCCAGCAGGGCGGGCGCUACUUACACAACUUCCGCAGGUUGCAGAUUUGUGAUAGAGAGCCACUUCCAUUUCUUACUUGUGGCGUGUCUCUCUUUCGGGCAACACUAACGCCAGUUGGAGGCCACCGAUCAUUCGAGGGGUUCUCUGGUUUGCAAGUAGGAAAUAAGCGCCUCAGCUAUUUUGAUUGUCAGUGGAUGUGGACACUUUUACUAUCUGAUUCGUGGAAGUGGACGAUCGUAUAAUGAGGCGUCAAUGGGAGUGGCUUAGGACUCUACGAGCUUACUGAUCACUGGUGUGGAGACGGAUGGCUGCACGCUGGGUGUUCGCGAGCCACUGCUGACGUCGGCCUUGAAAGGGGACUGGGGAUCAGCGGAAUCACUUUGGACAACAAAGGCAGAGCGAAUGCUGGCCUGGUAGGCGACGGAUGGUUGGCCGAGCCAUGGAGGACAUAAUGAAAUCAAGUGAGGGGACCUUUUUUGGAUGUCUCCAGACGCAGCCAGUAAGUGUCCAUAUCCUGGUUAUGUUGUGCACUGUCUUGUUACUUCACCUGGCCAUGUGGCUAGGUGUGCCAGAUUGUGUGCCACCCCGUCUGGAUAUCGGCCGAUUUAGGGCUCCGGAACAUUGGCGCAGGCAUUAAGAAACGUGUGUCAGAAGGAAGCACGAAGUCUCUCAUUGCCACGUAUCAGUAUGGUCUCCGUUCAGGAUUCACCAUUAUACACUGUGUUUCCAGGCAAGAGUACAUGCUGCGCCAGCAGACUCCGACUGCCAGGGUUGUAAAGGACGCAUGUUGGGGUGCAGAGGUAGCAACACAC
rnacentral:lncRNA from 1 species